rnacentral:rRNA from 1 species
UUGAACGCUGGCGGCAUGCUUUACACAUGCAAGUCGAACGGCAGCGCGGGCUUCGGCCUGGCGGCGAGUGGCGAACGGGUGAGUAAUGCGUCGGAACGUGCCCAGUAGUGGGGGAUAGCCCGGCGAAAGCCGGAUUAAUACCGCAUACGACCUGAGGGUGAAAGCGGGGGACCGAAAGGCCUCGCGCUAUUGGAGCGGCCGAUGUCGGAUUAGCUAGUUGGUGGGGUAAAGGCUUACCAAGGCGACGAUCCGUAGCUGGUCUGAGAGGACGACCAGCCACACUGGGACUGAGACACGGCCCAGACUCCUACGGGAGGCAGCAGUGGGGAAUUUUGGACAAUGGGGGCAACCCUGAUCCAGCCAUGCCGCGUGCGGGAAGAAGGCCUUCGGGUUGUAAACCGCUUUUGUUCGGGAAGAAAUCCUCUGGGCUAAUACCCCGGGGGGAUGACGGUACCGGAAGAAUAAGCACCGGCUAACUACGUG